rnacentral:rRNA from 1 species
UACGAAGGGUGCAAACGUUGUUCGGAUUUACUGGGCGUAAAGCGCGUGUAGGCGGCUUUGCAAGUCGGAUGUGAAAGCCCACGGCUCAACCGUGGAAGUGCAUCCGAAACUGCAUGGCUGGAGUCUCGGAGAGGAAGGUGGAAUGCUUGGUGUAGAGGUGAAAUUCGUAGAUAUCAAGCAGAACACCUGCGGCGAAGGCGGCCUUCUGGACGAUGACUGACGCUGAGACGCGAAAGCGUGGGGAGCAAACAGG